AUUGAACGCUGGCGGCAGGCCCAACACAUGCGAGUCGAGCGGUAGCACAGAGAGCUUGCUCUCGGGUGACGAGCGGCGGACGGGUGAGUAAUGUCUGGGAAACUGCCUGAUGGAGGGGGAUAACUACUGGAAACGGUAGCUAAUACCGCACAAUGUCGCAAGACCAAAGUGGGGGACCUUCGGGCCUCAGGCCAUCAGAUGUGCCCAGAUGGGAUUAGCUAGUAGGUGGGGUAACGGCUCACCUAGGCGACGAUCCCUAGCUGGUCUGAGAGGAUGACCAGCCACACUGGAGCUGAGACACGGUCCAGACUCCUACGGGAGGCAGCAGUGGGGAAUAUUGCACAAUGGGCGCAAGCCUGAUGCAGCCAUGCCGCGUGUGUGAAGAAGGCCUUCGGGUUGUAAAGCACUUUCAGCGGGGAGGAAGGCGAUAAGGUUAAUAACCUCAUCGAUUGACGUUACCCGCAGAAGAAGCACCGGCUAACUCCGUGCCAGCCGCCGCAGUAAUAC
rnacentral:rRNA from 1 species